CAAGUCGCACGAGAAAGCGGGAGCAAUCUCGCAAGUAAAGUGGCGUACGGGUGAGUAACACGUGGAUCAUCUGCCCUGGAGUGGGGAAUAACGCUGGGAAACCGGCGCUAAUACCGCACAUUCCCGAGAGGGGAAAGCAGCAAUGCGCUCGAGGAGGAGUCCGCGGCCGAUUAGCUAGUUGGUAGGGUAAAAGCCUACCAAGGCUGUGAUCGGUAGCCGGCCUGAGAGGGCACACGGCCACACUGGCACUGAAACACGGGCCAGACUCCUACGGGAGGCAGCAGUGGGGAAUCUUGCACAAUGGGGGAAACCCUGAUGCAGCGACGCCGCGUGAGCGAUGAAGCCCUUCGGGGUGUAAAGCUCUUUCGGCAGGGAAGAUUAUGACGGUACCUGCAGAAGCAGCUGCGGCUAACUACGUGCCAGCAGCCGCGGUAAUACGUAGGCAGCAAGCGUUGUUCGGAGUUACUGGGCGUAAAGGGUGUGUAGGCGGCCUGUUAAGUUCCGUGUGAAAUCUCCCGGCUCAACCGGGAGGGUGCGCGGAAAACUGGCGGGCUAGAGUGCGGGAUGGGAGAGUAGAAUUCCUGGUGUAGCGGUGAAAUGCGUAGAUAUCAGGAGGAAUACCGGUGGUGUAGACGGCUCUCUGGACCGCAACUGACGCUGAAACACGAAAGCGUGGGUAGCAAACAGGAUUAGAUACCCUGGUAGUCCACGCCCUAAACGAUGCAUAUUUGGUGUAGGUCAUUCAGUUGAUCUGUGCCGGAGCUAACGCGUUAAAUAUGCCGCCUGGGGAGUACAGUCGCAAGGCUGAAACUCAAAGGAAUUGACGGGGGCCCGCACAAGCGGUGGAGCAUGUGGUUCAAUUCGACGCAACGCGAAAAACCUUACCUGGGCUCGAACGGCUGGUCAA
rnacentral:rRNA from 1 species